rnacentral:rRNA from 1 species
GGAAUUUUCCGCAAUGGGCGAAAGCCUGACGGAGCGACGCCGCGUGUGGGAUGAAGGCCUUCGUGUCGUAAACCACUGUCGAAGGGGAAGAUAUUGACGGUACCCUUGGAGGAAGCCCCGGCUAACUACGUGCCAGCAGCCGCGGUAAGACGUAGGGGGCAAGCGUUAUUCGGAAUCAUUGGGCGUAAAGCGCUCGUAGGCGGUUUGGUAAGUCCGUGAAGAAAGACCUGGGCUCAACUCAGGGAACGGCACGGAUACUAUCAUACUUGAGGUAAUCAGAGGGUGAUGGAAUUCCCGGUGCAGCGGUGAAAUGCGUAGAUAUCGGGAGGAACACCAGUGGCGAAGGCGAUCACCUGGGGUUAAUCUGACGCUGAGGAGCGAAAGCUAGGGGAGCAAAC